rnacentral:lncRNA from 1 species
UUUGGCAAAUAUUUUUGUAUCGUAUCCACAGAGAUUGGGUAAUAUUACCGCCGUUCUAUAAUUCAAAUGUUAUAAGUUUAGAAAGUAACAGGGUUGUUUUGUUUGGAAAAAUAUCUUGUUAAUAGAUGUUAACAUAAACUAUUAAGUGGUUUUAGACAAAUAUAAAAGCUUGGCAAGAUUGGAGUUCACUAUUUCAAAU